rnacentral:lncRNA from 1 species
UCGGUGUUGUUGGUGUCGGUGUUGUUGGUGUUGGUGUUGUUGGUUCCGGUGUUGGUGUCAGUGUUGGUGUUGGUGGUGUCGGUGUUGUUGGUGUCGGUGUUGGUGGUGUCGGUGUUGGUGGUGUCGGUGUUGUUGGUUCCGGUGUUGGUGUCAGUGUUGGUGUUGUUGGUGUUGUUGGUGCCAGUCUUGGUGGUGUUGCUGCCGGUGUUGGUGCUGUUGGUGUCGGUGUUGUUGGUGUCAGUGUUGUU